CCCCCCCCCAUAAGAGGUCCAGCCUGCCCAGUGACCCAGUUCAACGGCCGCGGUAGCCUAACCGUGCGAAGGUAGCGUAAUCACUUGUCUUCUAAAUAAAGACUAGUAUGAAAGGCAUCACGAGAAUUCAACUGUCUCCUUUUUUCAAUCAGUGAACCUAAUCUCCCUGUGAAAAAGCAGGAAUUUACAAAUUAGACGAGAAGACCCUAUGAAGCUUUAAACACUAGUCAACUGCUAGCAUUACUAUACCCCGGCCCCAAAUUUAUGCACCAUGAUCACAUGUUUUUGGUUGGGGUGACCGCGGAAAAUAACCUAACCUCCACAAUGAAAACCCUCAAGCCACAACUUUAAGUAUCAACAAAUUGACAUCCAUUGACCCAAUAUAUUGAUUAAUGAAC
rnacentral:rRNA from 1 species